CGUUUUGUGUUUAUUUUGUGUUGCAGGAAACUUCCACACCGGCAGAUGUUGAAGCCCAGAUUUCCCUGCCUAGCACUCCGAGGCUCAUCAUGCUUGGAGGCAGCCACGUCCCUUGAGUUUGUCCAACGCUUUUUUGUCCGGAUAAAUCCAGAACAGAGUAAAUGUGCUGCUAAAUUCCAGACCAGCAAGAGCACGGGGAAGAAGGUUCAACGGAAAAAUCAGUCCCUGAAUCCACAUGUCGCCGCUCUAAUCCAGGACUUCAU